rnacentral:piRNA from 1 species
UGGUCCCACCUCAAGCUUUCUUACCUC